rnacentral:rRNA from 1 species
GAUGAACGCUGGCGGCGUGCUUAACACAUGCAAGUCGAACGGAAAGGCCCUACUUUUGUUGGGUGCUCGAGUGGCGAACGGGUGAGUAACACGUGAGUAACCUGCCCUUGACUUUGGGAUAACUCUAGGAAACUGGGGCUAAUACCGGAUAGGAGCUUCUGCUGCAUGGUGUGGGUGGGAGAGUUUCGGCGGUGGGGGAUGGACUCGCGGCUUAUGAGCUUGUUGGUGGGGUUGUGGUAUACCAGGGUUUAGACGGGUAGCCGGCCUGAGAGGGUGAGCGGACACAGUGGGACUGAGAUAGGGCACAGACUCAUACGGGAGGCAAGAGUGGGAAAUAUUACAAAGUGGGCGGACGUGAGAUACAGAAGCGGCGCGUGCGGGAAGAGCGCUUUCGGGGUAUAAACCGCUUUCGCGUGAGACGAAGCGUUAGUGACGGUACUGGGUAAAGAAGCACCGGCUAACUACGUG